rnacentral:rRNA from 1 species
GUGGGGAAUUUUGGACAAUGGGCGCAAGCCUGAUCCAGCCAUUCCGCGUGCAGGAUGAAGGCCUUCGGGUUGUAAACUGCUUUUGUACGGAACGAAAAGCCUCUGGUUAAUACCCGGGGGUCAUGACGGUACCGUAAGAAUAAGCACCGGCUAACUACGUGCCAGCAGCCGCGGUAAUACGUAGGGUGCGAGCGUUAAUCGGAAUUACUGGGCGUAAAGCGUGCGCAGGCGGUGAUGUAAGACAGUUGUGAAAUCCCCGGGCUCAACCUGGGAACUGCAUCUGUGACUGCAUUGCUGGAGUGCGGCAGAGGGGGAUGGAAUUCCGCGUGUAGCAGUGAAAUGCGUAGAUAUGCGGAGGAACACCGAUGGCGAAGGCAAUCCCCUGGGCCUGCACUGACGCUCAUGCACGGAAGCGUGGGGAGCAAACAGGAUUAGAAACCCUAGUAGUCC